UACGUAGGGUGCAAGCGUUGUCCGGAAUUAUUGGGCGUAAAGAGCUCGUAGGCGGUUUGUUGCGUCGGCUGUGAAAUCCCGAGGCUCAACCUCGGGUCUGCAGUCGAUACGAGCAAACUAGAGUGUUGCAGGGGAGACUGGAAUUCCUGGUGUAGCGGUGAAAUGCGCAGAUAUCAGGAGGAACACCGGUGGCGAAGGCGGGUCUCUGGGCAUUAACUGACGCUGGAGGAGCGAAAGCAUGGGGAGCGAACAGG
rnacentral:rRNA from 1 species